rnacentral:misc_RNA from 1 species
UGGUUCUGGCAUCGAUGAAGAACGCAGCGAAAUGCGAUAAGUAAUGUGAAUUGCAGAAUUCAGUGAAUCAUCGAAUCUUUGAACGCACAUUGCGCCCCCUGGCAUUCCGGGGGGCAUGCCUGUCCGAGCGUCAUUGCACCUCUCAAGCGUAGCUUGGUGUUGGGCCGGGUCUGGGAGGGCCAGCCCGAAAACGAGCGGCGGUCCGGUGGGACUUCAAGCGCAGUAAAAUAUUUUUCGCUUUGGAAGUUCCCUCUGGGCCUGCCGGAACCACUCACUUCAAUGAUUGACCUCGGAUCAGGUAGGGAUACCCGCUGA